GAAUCAUAUUAUCUUAUGAUGGUUUUUGAGAAUGAGUGCAUAUAAUCUUACCGCAUUCUGCAACAGUGGUUUUGAUUGUUGUCACCAAAGUAGUGUCUCUGAAAGUUAGUCCCUGUGAGGGAGUUGAGGGAGUGGAUACUGCUACAAAUGUUGAGGUUCUUGUUAUUACUGUAGUAGUACCACUUGUUAAUGGCAUUAUUGGUCUUAGAGUAGUGACAUCACUUGUGACUGUCGAUGUAGCAGUGGGAGUUGUGGCAUCACUUGAAGUGACUGUAGACGUAGUUGAAGUAGUGGUGGCAUCGCUUGAAGUGACUGUGGAUGUAGUUGAGGGAGUGGUGGCAUCACUUGAAGUGACUGUAGACGUAGUUGAAGGAGUGGUGGCAUCACUUGAAGUGACUGUUGAUGUAGUUGAAGGAGUGGUGGCAUCACUUGAAGUGGAUGUUGAUGUAGUUGAGGGAGUGGUGGCAUCACUUGAAGUGACUGUAGAUGUAGUUGAAGGAGUGGUGGCAUCACUUGAAGUGGAUGUUGAUGUAGUUGAGGGAGUGGUAUCUUCAUUUGAAUUGGGUGUUAAUGUAAUAUUACUUGAAGUCAAUGUAGUAGUGGUGGUAUCACUUGAAGUUACUGUCAAUGUAGUUGAAUGAGUGAUGACAUUACUUUGAGUGACUGUUGAUGGAGUGAUGGCAUCAUUUGAGGUGGGUGUUGAUGUAGUUGAGGGGGUUGUGGCAUUACUUGUAAUGAAUGUUGAUGCAAUAUCACUUGAAAUUACUGUUGAUGUAUUUGAGAGAGUGGUGGCAUCACUUGAACUGACUGUUGAGGGAGUGGUGGAAUCACUUGAACUGACUGUUGAGGGAAUUUUGGGAGGGUUGACAUCACUUGAAGUGACUGUUGAUGUAGUUGAGGGAUUGGUGGCAUCACUUGAAGUGACUGUUGAUGUAGUUGAGGGAGUGGUGGUAUCACUUGUAGUGACUGUUGAUGUCAUUGAGGGAAUGGUGGCAUCACUUGAAGUGACUAUUAAUAUAGUUGAGGUGGUGGGAGUGGUGGCAUCACUUGAAGUGACUAUUAAUAUAGUUGAGGGAGUGGUGGAAUCACUUGAAGUGACUGUUGAUGUAGUUGAUUGAGUGGUGGAAUCACUUGAAGUGACUGUUGAUGUAGUUGAGGGAGUGGUGGAAUCACUUGAAGUGACUGUGGAUGUAGUUGAGUGAGUGGUGGAAUCACUUGAAGAGGGUGUUGGUGUAGUUGAGGGAGUGGUGGAAUCACUUGAAGUGACUGUUGAUGUAGUUGAGUGAGUGGUGGAAUCACUUGAAGAGGGUGUUGGUGUAGUUGAGGGAGUGAUGGCAUCACUUGAUGUGACUGCUGAUGUAGUAUCACUUGGAGUGACAAUUGAUGUAGUUGAGGCAGUGGUGCCAUCACUUGAAGUGGGUGUUGAGGGAGUAGUGGCAUCACUUG
ensembl:lncRNA